UACAGAGGUCUCGAGCGUUAGGCGGAAUCACUGGGCUUAAAACGUGUGUAGGCGGAUCGUUAAGUGCCUUGUGAAAUCCCACGGCUUAACCGUGGAACUGCUUGGCAUACUGGCGGUCUUGAGCAACCUAGGGGCGAGCGGAACAAAUGGUGGAGCGGUGAAAUGCGUAGAUAUCAUUUGGAACGCCAAUGGUGAAAACAGCUCGCUGGGGGUUUGCUGACGCUGAGACACGAAAGCCAGGGGAGCAAACGGG
rnacentral:rRNA from 1 species